rnacentral:rRNA from 1 species
UACGUAGGGUGCGAGCGUUAAUCGGAAUUACUGGGCGUAAAGCGUGCGCAGGCGGCGCGUUAAGACAGGUGUGAAAGCCCCCGAGCUUAACUUGGGAAUUGCGCUUGUGACUGGCGUGCUGGAGUGUGGCAGAGGGAGGUGGAAUUCCACGUGUAGCAGUGAAAUGCGUAGAGUAUCUGGAGGAACACCGGUGGCGAAGGCGGCAUCCUGGACCGAUACUGACGCUGAGGAGCGAAAGCCAGGGGAGCAAACGGG